rnacentral:rRNA from 1 species
UACGGGGGGAGCAAGCGUUGUUCGGAUUUACUGGGCGUAAAGGGCGCGUAGGCGGCCACCGCAAGUCGACUGUGAAAUCUCCGGGCUUAACCCGGAAAGGUCAGCCGAUACUGCGGGGCUCGAGUGCAGAAGGGGCAACUGGAAUUCUCGGUGUAGCGGUGAAAUGCGUAGAUAUCGAGAGGAACACCUGCGGCGAAGGCGGGUUGCUGGGCUGACACUGACGCUGAGGCGCGAAAGCCAGGGGAGCGAACGGG